AUGAGGCCAGAAUUGGACUUUGGUGGCUGCUUCUCAUUUGAGACUCAGAGCCUUGCAAGUUAUUCCUCUCACGACCUGAUGAACUCGCUGAUUCUCAAAUGUUGCUGGGUACCAGAACACCUGGAGAACUUAGACAGCACACAGAAGAGCAGGCUGGUUGAAGGGGUUAUACCAACUUCCCAGGUGCACUUGUUCCUUGGUAUUAUUAAAAAGUCCAUCUUUUGGAGACUUCCACUCUUGGGAAGAUGGAAUAGAUGUACUUUUCCCUGUUCCUCCCCCUAAUGACAACUAAAAACCCUGGGCAUUGUGUGUAAAACAAGCAUGAGAAGACUCUGGAAAGUGGAGAGAAGACCGCUAGGGACAUUGGGACCCAACGAGCAACUCAGUGGUGAGCUCCUUGUGUUUUGUUUUUGGCUCCUAUAACCCCGACUUGGAACUGAAAAAGCAGGAAACUCGGAAAUGUCAAUAGGCACAGACAAAAAAGGCCCCAACAAAAGCGCACUCUCUCUAGCCAAAUGACCCAGACAGCUGCCGCCUAGCAAGACAGAAAAUGUUUAGACAAUAACCCCUCUAUGCUAGCCAAACAUCACAGAAAAAAACCGUGGUCCUACCUCCAUACCAGCAAAGGCUCAGGCUCCCCACUCCACACCUUACCCAUGACCCACAGUGUCAGAGAAGGCCCCACAGAGAAUCAGGAGAUUCACCUCAUCCAGCAGUAAGGAGUCCACCCCUCCUCUAUGGUGUCGGUGGAGGCUGUGAGGGACUAAUAAUGAAACACUUAUGACCCCCCCCAGGCCAGGGUGGCACCAGCCAGGGCUUAAUGUGGAGCCAGAACUCCCCCUGACACUUCCAGUAACACAGAGCCCUGCCUCCCCUCAGGUGUCAACAGAGACAGAUGGGAAUCUGGACUUUACCUACACCAGCAGAAGUGGCUCCUCCACUCCCCCUGCCCCUCGCCUGAGUGCUGUGAGAGGACUUUAACAAAGACAGAAGGUUUAAAUAAGAUCCAGAGUCUCAUACAUAAUCCCCAAAAUGUCCAGGUUUCAAUAGAAAAUCACUUGUCAUACCAAGAACCAGGAAAAUCUCAACUCACAAAAGGCAAUCAGUAGAUGCCAACAGUAGUACAUGCCAAUGACUGAGAUUUAAAAGUAUAU
rnacentral:lncRNA from 1 species